UCAGGUAACAUUUUUUUGUGAGAUAAAUAUAUAACCUUGUAUGAAAGUACCAUAUGAAAAUUAAAUGCGAAAGCCAAAAACAUUUACAAAACUCUAAGCGCAUAAAUUUAGUAAAAAAGCUGAAAUUUUCUAAGACCGCUCUCAAAAUCCCUGUUUUUUUAACAACGCGUCAUAUUACGUAGUCAGAGGCGCUCGUCUGACAGGCUCUACAUUGGCAGUGCUGCGGUUGUAUUCAGCAACAGCAGUCGCAAAUUGAUGUGAUUCUCCGUAGUUUCAAUUUAGCAUCGUCAUGGUUAAUAACUGUGUUAGUGGAGGUUUUACAAACUCCAGCCUGUCAGGACAAUGAGUCCACAGGUUUCUUUUGAAGAAUAAAGGCCGCGCUAUCUUCCGUGUCUGUGUGUGUUUAGCGCAGCACGGGGAAAGAGACGAGAGACGCGACUUCAGUUCAGCAUGUGCUUCAGAAAAACGCGGUGGUGUAUAGCGUUCACGUUAGAUCGGAGGAUUAUCAUCCCGGCAAUAUGAUGGAGUUAAACAUUGGAUGCCGAAGCAAGAACCACGUGAGGCCUGUGUUUUUGCCGCCGCGAGAAAACAUGAUUCGAUCACGGUCUCUCUGAGAUGCAGCUCGAAGAUAACGUGAAAACUAUGCACAGUAAGUCUUGUUUUUUAAACAUUUGCUACUACCAAAUCAUUUAACAUAAUGAUUUCAUUCAAGUUUCUUAUAAAUAUGGAAAUCAACUAACUGAUAACCUUAGUUUGCAAAUAGUAUAACCAUCAAAUCGAGUUACAUCUUAUUUACUUUGUUUGCAUAGCUAAUUCGUAAUUCGUUUUUUGUCAUGUGGUGUGUUCAUGUAUGUACCUAAGAAGUGACAUGCUGUUAUACAAUUAUAUAAAGGUGAAUCUGUUUUAAUUCUAGUUGUCUAGCUACAGAUGAAGAUGCUUAGUAUGAUGAAUCAUCCUCUGUUGUCAUGGACGAACCUGGCGAUGUGUUAUGGAGGAGGAAAAAACAAAAAAGACUCAUCUGAUGAGAAACCACUGCAAGAAUCUCAUCCUGUUCACACAAGUCUGUGCAGCAUGCAUGUAUCAGCAUUUUUGGUGACCAGUGACUUCUCUUCUGAGGGGCGUGAAUUCCAAAUGUGUGUUUGUUGUGACGUGUGUGAACCAUGUGCAUCAUGCCUCUUGUCACAAUACGUGCCUGCUGCACACGCGUUGAAAAGGUUUAUGAUAAAAAAGAAGCACUCAUGUUCACAAAAUACUCGCAAGACACUAACUUGACACUAAACUGUAAUUACACAGGAGAUGAAGUGAGUAUCAGGCAUACGUGAGCGUAUCUUUUAUCAUAAACCCUUUACAUGCGUGUGCAGCAGAUUUUGACAUCACGUGUGAUGCACAUAAGUUUACAUGACGCGCUGAACACAUAUUUUGAAAUUACGAGCCACACACAUGACGAGCUCAAUGCAUGUGACCAGCUUCGCAACAUGCGCCCUCAAAAAAGAACUCACCGGCCGAUACUGACCCAGAUCAUCAAGAUGUUAAAACUGUUUGGGCUUUAGAGCAUCUUGUCAGCACCUUCUUCCACCAUGUACACAAUUUCUACCAUCGUGAAGGCGUGGCGAAUGAGAGAUUUGCAGUCACCACAGGCUCUACGAGAAUGCAGCACUGUCCUGUCUUCCACUACACCUGCUCCCCUCUCCAGAUCCACCCAGAGGAUCAACAAGGAUGAAGCUGUUGGGAUCUAUUAAUCACAUCAUUCACAAUUUAACACACUUCAACACAUUAUUAUAAUACCCGCACAUAUGAUGGGAAAGAUACUGAAAAAUUGUUAAAUGUUUUUAAAUGGGUCAGAUUGUAUAUCUUUUUUUCGGUGCUACAUAAAUAAAACUAAAUCGAAUUACAAAUGCAGAUCUACUUGGUAUAUAUCUGAUCUAAACUUCAUAAACCAGUUUUUAUACGGUAAGACAAUUUGUGAUUAUUGUUUAUGGAUUGUCACAAAAUGGGGGUAUUCAAACCAUUUAUAAAGUCCUCCUUCCUCUGGAACCUGUCCUCGAAUGGCUGACACAUGCAGGUAAAGGUAAGUUCCUUAGACGCCCAGCGGAUAACUUGCCUAUGCUGUAUUUAGUGGUAUAGUUUGGAGAUGGGAAAACUAUUAAUAUUGUUAAUUUGAAUAUUGACUAGUGCCAGCAAAAAUUGUGACUUAGUCAUGACCUAUAGGCAACUUGUAAUUAAAACAAAUUCAUUAAGAUUGUUUUAAAACAAAUUUAUUAAGAUUGUUUUAACAUUCAAAUCUUUAGUUUACUGUUCAUUUAUACAUGCAUAUUAAAUAAAUUAGUAAUAAAUAAUCUCUGCCAUAAACAUACUCAUUUCUACUGGCCUGGCCUGUAGCACAUAUGGGUUCAGACAGCUCACCUCUCCUGCGGUGAUGAGCAACAUCUGUAUCACGUAACGUAAGUGUGGAUGGAUAUUAACAUAACUUAUAAGCAUUAAAAAGACAAAGUAUCAAUAUUACCUUUGCUAUUGCAUGAUAUAUGACUAUAAUCUGUACAAUCUUGUGAUCUGAGCACAGUAUUACAUCUCGCCAGAUCACUGAUCUCACCCAGACAUCUGUCCUUUUCUCCUCACAUAACACUUCAAUUUGUCUCCUCUGACCGUUCUGUUUAAUCCUGACCCGUCCCUGCACUCUUGGCUGCAUAGCAAACUCAUAAUUGUAUGGCUGUAGUUCGUCAUACGAGUAUGAAUAAACAUUUGCUCGUUCCUCAGCGUCCGAAGAACUGUCAUUGCGAUCCAUCGUGCGCCUCUCGUGAUGUCACUUCCGGUUUGGCGGUUUUUAGAGGCGGGUCUAAAAUUUUCUUACAAAAAUGACCCCAGAAGCCUAAUUAGUGCAUUUAGAAAAAUAUUUUUUUUUAAAUCUAUUUCCUACAGUAUUUUUCUGUACUUUGAGUGAAUGGGUGGUUUAACUUUCAAGUUGCUC